rnacentral:rRNA from 1 species
GAUGAACGCUAGCGGCAGGCCUAACACAUGCAAGUCGAGGGGUAGAACACUUCGGUGUUCGAGACCGGCGCACGGGUGCGUAACGCGUAUGCAAUCUACCUUGUACAGGGGAAUAGCCCAGAGAAAUUUGGAUUAAUGCCCCAUAGUAUAUAACCUUCGCAUGUUGGUUAUAUUAAAGUUCCAACGGUACAAGAUGAGCAUGCGUCCCAUUAGUUAGUUGGUAAGGUAACGGCUUACCAAGACGAUGAUGGGUAGGGGUCCUGAGAGGGGGAUCCCCCACACUGGUACUGAGACACGGACCAGACUCCUACGGGAGGCAGCAGUGAGGAAUAUUGGUCAAUGGGCGCAAGCCUGAACCAGCCAUGCCGCGUGCAGGAAGACGGUCCUAUGGAUUGUAAACUGCUUUUAUACAGGAAGAAACCCUCCCACGUGUGGGAGAUUGACGGUACUGUAGGAAUAAGGAUCGGCUAACUCCGUGCCAGCAGCCGCCGUAACAC